CAACUAUUUCAAAUGAUUUGUGAGUAUUGAAGUUGAUCAUUUAUGUGACAAGAAAGCUACACCAUUCUGAAUUAGUUCUUGAAGCUCAAAAGUAAAGCUAUGUAGUUCGUGAAAUUUGUAUUGCCCUAGGUUUGACAGAGUGGGGAUGAUUCCUUGAAUUGGUGAUUAAUUGAUCUUAAGAUUUGGAUCAACAUUGAAGGUUCUAAUCUUCAAGUGUUGCGGUGUUUAAUCCAAUAGGAUAUUUUGAUUGAUACAAGACAAUAAACUAAAUUUGUAACUAAAACUAUUAGGGUCGGGAUCCCAUUGAGCGUUUGAUUUCCAUUUGGAUUGUGUCAGUUACUGUUCAUAAGUUGAAGAAACUACCAUGUGUGAUGAUAGCUGAUCCUAACAAUGUUGCUCUUUUCUUCAGUGAUUGAGAAAGGUUGAUAUGCAAAAGAAAUUUGUAUCUUGUAUUCAAAAGAAAGGUUGAUAUGCUAAAGGAAUUUGUAUCUUGUAUUCAAACUUUUUAAAUUUUAAAUUUUAAUUUUUAUCACUGGAUUUUGUUUUUGUAUGGUCCUAGAGGUUGACUGGAAUGAAUAGGCUGGCAUAAAGAGAUAAAUCAUUCAAGAGAAAUCCAUUGUAUGGUUUGAUCCAAUUUGUAUUGCCAAAGACCAAAAAGAUAACAACAGAACAGAACCAAAAAGGGAGAAACAAUAAACAAAAGAGAAACUGCUGUCCCGAUUAAUAAUAGAACCCAUUUAACUUGCCCCCACCCCC